CGGAGUGUAGCGCAGUCUGGUAGCGCAUUGGUUUUGGGAACCAAGGGUCACAAGUUCGAAUCUUGUCACUCCGA
rnacentral:tRNA from 1 species